AAGAAGAGUUCUCUUUUCUUCUUAACGGUCUGUCACCCUGAAAUCGGUUUGUCCGGAGCUAGGGUUCAAUGGCCGGAAGAGCGCUGCACUUUUGCGGCGUUUGGUGCGCUCCCGACGAGCCUUGAAAAUCCGCUUGAAGAAAUAGUUUUCACGCCAGGUCGUACUCAUAACCGCAGCAGGUCUCCAAGGUGAACAGCCUC
rnacentral:rRNA from 14 species